rnacentral:rRNA from 1 species
CUACAACACCUAGAUGUGCUAGAAGAUUUUGUGACACUACACAAAGAGACCAUCGCAAAGAAGUACCGUGACCGUGGGGUUCAUAGGACAGACAUUGAAGUUAUUAGAGAGCGCAACUCCACUUUCUUGCGUUGGUUCAAAGAGCGAGCUCUGGCUAAUCCCCCGGAAGAGGGUUCUCCGAACGGAACACUCAUAUACGCCUUAGCACAUGGCCCCUCGACCAAACUCGCGACUUAUCAAGCAUACAAUAUCAACAGAUACACGUUCUACAUGGAGGAGAAAGAUAUAAACAGUGAUGACCAAAACUCA